AUUCUGCGAUGCGCUAGUGCUUUCUACCCAUGUGCCAAAAUCUCCAUCAUCUCCAGCGGAAACGACGUUGUCUCGUACUCCCCCAACGUCUCCCGUUCCCCCGACGUGCGAUGCAGAACGUCCAUGGCUGUGAUGGGACACAAGAAUCUUUCUGUGAUUCUGGCGGAGACCCGUUGGCCUAGCUCCGGGAUUGAUUCUGGCGAAGUCGACGCUACGUUGUUGUAUAGUGAGAUGUUCUUGAAAGUUUUGUUGGCGUAUUUGAGGAGCGGUGGUGGGACGAAGAUGGUGGUGGUGGAGGGAAAGGAAUAAGAUUGGUGGAGGUUUUGAGUUCUAGGGUGGUGGUGGAGGGGAAAGAAGAAGAUUGGUGGAGGUUUUGGUUGGGUUCUUGGUGGGGGUGGUGAUGCUUUAUUUGUUGGUGUAAACGAGAGAUAAACUCAGAUGAGAUAAUUCGUGUGAGAUUAACUCAGAUGGGAUCAUGUGAGUGAAGAGGAGCAUGACAGAGAGAGGAAAGUAGAGUCCUUUGGUCAAGUUUGAUUGGAGAUUUAGUCAGGUUCGAGUAAAAGGGGGAAUGAGGAUGGAGAACGGUCAUGAGAACGAUUCUUUUCAAGUGGGUGAUGAAGAUUCUUCUUGCCGGAGAAUGACUUUAAAAACGAUAACUUGUUGCAAGUCAUCAAAGCUGUUGAAGCAGCUGAAACCACCACCAUCAAGCAGCAGGUCAAGAAUAGCAAAAACAGAGUACCAUUAAACCAGGGACUGAAGUGAAGCUUUUUUUGCUUGUGUCUAUUUUUUGUAUUUGUAUGUGUCAUGAGAAUGGAAGAAUUAGGAACUGAAGUUAAGCAACUACCAUUAAACCAUUAUAAUUAAAUGUUCUUUAUCAAAGUUGCUUAUCUCA